AUACUGACCUGGCAGGGGAGACACCAUGAUCACAAAAGUGGUUUUCCCAGGGUGAGGCUCACCUAUUGCACUCCAGAUGUACUGACCCCUGUGAUUUCCCCAAAUAUGGGAAACUUGACUGCAAUUUGUGGUAGUGGGGGACUGCAUUCGCACUUUUCCCUG